ACCUUCGACCUCGUGCCUCAAAACUUUUUACUCGCUCUUACCACUGAGCCAGAGGCUCAAAUUACUUUAAGUUUGUACAAAAUUAUCUAUCUAUUAAGAAUAUUAUUAAUGUGAUCUAUAUAUAUAAUAUAAUUUUUCGACGAAAAUAUUCGCCAAAUACCUAAUACUUCCGUAACUUUUUAGACUCUCUUUGUAAAAAGCAUCUGCCCAUCCCUGUAAAUUGUGUACAAACUCGAAACCCAGUACGAUCUUGCUGAGAGGGAGAGAUGACAAGGGGAAAGCAAAAGAUCGAGGCUCAGAGGAAAAAUGCCGAGAAGAAUCAGAAAGGAAAAGGGUCUCAGCUUGAAGCCCGUGCCGUUGGCCUCAAAGUCAUCUGUCCCAUUUGUAAAGCGCAGCUAGCAAAUCAAAACCAACUUGUGGAUCACUACGGCUCGAAACAUCCAAAGGAAAAGGCUCCAAGUAACUCAGAAUAACAUUUCCUGUUUCUUGGGAAGCUUCUUGCUUUUGUUCUCAAACUUUUGAAUCAAUUAGUAAAAACUCUGUUAAAAAAGCAAGAGUCCAAGCUGGUGAUGGCUACUUUGUGAAAUAGACUGAACAUUCUCUGUGAAUAAUGUAAGCAAGAAAACAAUAAAAAUCUCAAAGAGAAUGGAUGGUUAUGUUUUUUAGCUGCAUAUCU